rnacentral:misc_RNA from 1 species
AGUCAUCGACCCGAACCGUUUCUUGCGAGCGGCGAAGGGCCGGAUGUGGGGCGUGCUGCCGAGAGGCUGCUCCCCUCAAAUGCGUCGGUCGGACCUGCGGUUCGGACUCGAUUGGGCGUUGUACCAACCUCGCUCUCCCGAGACGUUCCCUCUCGUGUCCCUCCUUGACCUGCCUAUGGAGUGGCGGUCAAAUGCAAACUUUGAA